GCCCGGUUAGCUCAAUCGGUAGAGCGUGAGACUCUUAAUCUCAAGGUUGCGGGUGAGUUGCGCUCAAUGUGCAAAAAAUACAAGAAAUAAUUCUGACUCUCCCGCCAUAGGUUCGACCCCCGCAUCGGGCU